ACUCCUACGGGAGGCAGCAGUGGGGAAUAUUGCACAAUGGGCGCAAGCCUGAUGCAGCAACGCCGUGUGAGUGAAGAAGGUUUUCGGAUCGUAAAACUCUGUCCUAAGGGAAGAAAAAAUGACGGUACCUUAGGAGGAAGCCCCGGCUAACUACGUGCCAGCAGCCGCGGUAAUACGUAGGGGGCAAGCGUUAUCCGGAAUCACUGGGCGUAAAGGGUGCGUAGGCGGCUUGACAAGCCAGGGGUGAAAGGCAUUGGCUCAACCAAUGUAAGCCUUUGGAACUGUUAAGCUUGAGUGCAGGAGAGGUAAGUGGAAUUCCUAGUGUAGAGGUGAAAUUCGUAGAUAUUAGGAGGAACACCAGUGGCGAAGGCGACUUACUGGACUGUAACUGACGCUGAUGCACGAAAGCGU
rnacentral:rRNA from 1 species